rnacentral:rRNA from 1 species
AGCUAUUUAGGUAGCGCCUCGUGAAUUCAUCUUCGGGGGUAGAGCACUGUUUCGGCUAGGGGGUCAUCCCGACUUACCAACCCGAUGCAAACUACGAAUACCGAAGAAUGUUAUCACGGGAGACACACGGCGGGUGCUAACGUCCGUCGUGAAGAGGGAAACAACCCAGACCGCCAGCUAAGGUCCCAAAGUCAUGGUUAAGUGGGAAACGAUGUGGGAAGGCACAGACAGCCAGGAUGUUGGCUUAGAAGCAGCCAUCAUUUAAAGAAAGCGUAAUAGCUCACUGGUCGAGUCGGCCUGCGCGGAAGAUGUAACGGGGCUAAACCAUGCACCGAAGCUGCGGCAGCGACACUAUGUGUUGUUGGGUAGGGGAGCGUUCUGUAAGCCUGCGAAGGUGUGCUGUGAGGCAUGCUGGAGGUAUCAGAAGUGCGAAUGCUGACAUAAGUAACGAUAAAGCGGGUGAAAAGCCCGCUCGCCGGAAGACCAAGGGUUCCUGUCCAACGUUAAUCGGGGCAGGGUGAGUCGACCCCUAAGGCGAGGCCGAAAGGCGUAGUCGAUGGGAAACAGGUUAAUAUUCCUGUACUUGGUGUUACUGCGAAGGGGGGACGGAGAAGGCUAUGUUAGCCGGGCGACGGUUGUCCCGGUUUAAGCAUGUAGGCUGAUUGUCCAGGCAAAUCCGGAUAAUCAAGGCUGAGGUGUGAUGACGAGGCACUACGGUGCUGAAGUAACAAAUGCCCUGCUUCCAGGAAAAGCCUCUAAGCAUCAGGUAACAUUAAAUCGUACCCCAAACCGACACAGGUGGUCAGGUAGAGAAUACCAAGGCGCUUGAGAGAACUCGGGUGAAGGAACUAGGCAAAAUGGUGCCGUAACUUCGGGAGAAGGCACGCUGGUGUGUAGGUGAAGCCCCUGCGGGUGGAGCUGAGACCAGUCGAAGAUACCAGCUGGCUGCAACUGUUUAUUAAAAACACAGCACUGUGCAAACACGAAAGUGGACGUAUACGGUGUGACGCCUGCCCGGUGCCGGAAGGUUAAUUGAUGGGGUUAUCCGUAAGGAGAAGCUCUUGAUCGAAGCCCCGGUAAACGGCGGCCGUAACUAUAACGGUCCUAAGGUAGCGAAAUUCCUUGUCGGGUAAGUUCCGACCUGCACGAAUGGCGUAAUGAUGGCCAGGCUGUCUCCACCCGAGACUCAGUGAAAUUGAACUCGCUGUGAAGAUGCAGUGUACCCGCGGCAAGACGGAAAGACCCCGUGAACCUUUACUAUAGCUUGACACUGAACAUUGAGCCUUGAUGUGUAGGAUAGGUGGGAGGCUUUGAAGCGUGGACGCCAGUCUGCGUGGAGCCAACCUUGAAAUACCACCCUUUAAUGUUUGAUGUUCUAACGUUGGCCCCUGACCGGGGUUGCGGACAGUGUCUGGUGGGUAGUUUGACUGGGGCGGUCUCCUCCCAAAGCGUAACGGAGGAGCACGAAGGUUAGCUAAUCCUGGUCGGACAUCAGGAGGUUAGUGCAAUGGCAUAAGCUAGCUUGACUGCGAGCGUGACGGCGCGAGCAGGUGCGAAAGCAGGUCAUAGUGAUCCGGUGGUUCUGAAUGGAAGGGCCAUCGCUCAACGGAUAAAAGGUACUCCGGGGAUAACAGGCUGAUACCGCCCAAGAGUUCAUAUCGACGGCGGUGUUUGGCACCUCGAUGUCGGCUCAUCACAUCCUGGGGCUGAAGUAGGUCCCAAGGGUAUGGCUGUUCGCCAUUUAAAGUGGUACGCGAGCUGGGUUUAGAACGUCGUGAGACAGUUCGGUCCCUAUCUGCCGUGGGCGCUGGAGAAUUGAGGGGGGCUGCUCCUAGUACGAGAGGACCGGAGUGGACGCAUCACUGGUGUUCGGGUUGUCAUGCCAAUGGCACUGCCCGGUAGCUAAAUGCGGAAGAGAUAAGUGCUGAAAGCAUCUAAGCACGAAACUUGCCCCGAGAUGAGUUCUCCCUGAGACUUUAAGUCUCCUGAAGGAACGUUAAAGACGAUGACGUUGAUAGGCCGGGUGUGUAAGCGCAGCGAUGCGUUGAGCUAACCGGUACUAAUGAACCGUGAGGCUUAACCUU